AGUAGUUCUUGAUAAUAAAUACAAUCAGUAGAUAAUGACUUUCAUGACCAUGAAGUUAGCAUUACUUUUAAAACAAUUUCUAUUCGGGUACAAGCAACGACUGCCAUUUUAUAACGCUUACUAACCACGCCAGAGAGCGCCAAUUAUACCAAAAAUUUGUAAUAUAUACAUUUUUCAAAAUCUAAGAGAGUUUAUAAUACUUAUAAUGCGUAUGAAAAUUGUCUUAAUGAAAAUUCAGGAUAUGAUGUUUGUGGAUUUUACUGUUCGACGUCUAAUGAACAGCAGCCUAGAAUUAAACUUCCUAAACCCAAAGAAUUUGACAAUUAUAACACUCGUUUACAGACUUUUGAAAACCGUCCAAAAAAAAAAUGGAAUCAAAAAUAUCAACUCUUUGUGAUGCUGGAUUUUUAUACUUAGGUAAUAGAUAAAUUGAUCAAAUGUUAUGUUACUGCUGCAGUCAAGGUUUGAAAGAUUGGGAUGAUGAAGACGAUCCAUGGGUAGAACAUGUACGUUGGUCUCCUAGCUGUACACAACGAAUUAAUUAUU